ACCCAGUGUGUUUCGACACACUAUCAUUAACCGAAUCCAUAGGUUAAUGAGGCGAACCGGGGGAACUGAAACAUCUAAGUACCCCGAGGAAAAGAAAUCAACCGAGAUUCCCCAAGUAGCGGCGAGCGAACGGGGAGCAGCCCAGAGCCUGAAUCAGUGUGUGUGUUAGUGGAAGCGUCUGGAAAGGCGCGCGAUACAGGGUGACAGCCCCGUACACAAAAAUGCACAUAUUGUGAGCUCGAUGAGUAGGGCGGGACACGUGGUAUCCUGUCUGAAUAUGGGGGGACCAUCCUCCAAGGCUAAAUACUCCUGACUGACCGAUAGUGAACCAGUACCGUGAGGGAAAGGCGAAAAGAACCCCGGCGAGGGGAGUGAAAAAGAACCUGAAACCGUGUACGUACAAGCAGUGGGAGCACGCUUAGGCGUGUGACUGCGUACCUUUUGUAUAAUGGGUCAGCGACUUAUAUUCUGUAGCAAGGUUAACCGAAUAGGGGAGCCGAAGGGAAACCGAGUCUUAACUGGGCGUUAAGUUGCAGGGUAUAGACCCGAAACCCGGUGAUCUAGCCAUGGGCAGGUUGAAGGUUGGGUAACACUAACUGGAGGACCGAACCGACUAAUGUUGAAAAAUUAGCGGAUGACUUGUGGCUGGGGGUGAAAGGCCAAUCAAACCGGGAGAUAGCUGGUUCUCCCCGAAAGCUAUUUAGGUAGCGCCUCGUGAAUUCAUCUCCGGGGGUAGAGCACUGUUUCGGCAAGGGGGUCAUCCCGACUUACCAACCCGAUGCAAACUGCGAAUACCGGAGAAUGUUAUCACGGGAGACACACGGCGGGUGCUAACGUCCGUCGUGAAGAGGGAAACAACCCAGACCGCCAGCUAAGGUCCCAAAGUCAUGGUUAAGUGGGAAACGAUGUGGGAAGGCCCAGACAGCCAGGAUGUUGGCUUAGAAGCAGCCAUCAUUUAAAGAAAGCGUAAUAGCUCACUGGUCGAGUCGGCCUGCGCGGAAGAUGUAACGGGGCUAAACCAUG
rnacentral:rRNA from 1 species